rnacentral:rRNA from 1 species
ACGUAGGGUGCAAGCGUUAAUCGGAAUUACUGGGCGUAAAGCGCGCGCAGGCGGUUUUCCAAGUCAGUGGUGAAAGCCCGGAGCUCAACUCCGGAAAUGCCAUUGAAACUGUAAAACUUGAGUACGAGAGAGGUGAGUGGAAUUCCCAGUGUAGAGGUGAAAUUCGUAGAUAUUGGGAAGAACACCGGUGGCGAAGGCGGCUCACUGGCUCGUAACUGACGCUCAGGCGCGAUAGCGUGGGGAUCAAACAGGA